ACAAAUGUGGAAACGAUCGAGUAGCCCAGUGGCGGCGGCGGUGAUGGUAUUUGUAUAUUGCUGCGUUAGUGUAGAAUUUUUUUGAAAAUUAUCUUUUUCACUAUCUGAAGCAUCGCCAUCUUCGUCAAACGAAUGUACAGUAACAACGAACUCUUGGAAUUGUUAUCACGGUAGACAACAGCAACAAACUAACGCGCGUUACCUAAACACAAAACAUCAACUAAAUAAAAGUUAGUUUUUUGUUCACUGCACCAUUUAUUUCUAUUAUUUUAUUACUGUCGUUGUUGGUUGCAGUGCUGGCCAAUGAGCGAACGCCUCGCACAUACUGCACAUAUCGGGUACUUUGGCAAAACUUGAGUGCAAGAAUUGGAUCAACUCAAAUUAUAGGACAAUGAUUGGUGAUAUAUUUUGUUAACCCUCUGUUGACCAACAGUUGCACUUUUGAUACCUUAACUACUCCCCUUGUUAAGCUCGAACGUCCCCGUUUCGAUAAGGUCAUUUUGAAUCUCGAAAUCGGCGUGAUAGUGGAAGCAGGUCACAUGGUUUUGUUUGUUUUUACAAUUCUAGUAGCUUAGAACUAAGUUUACUUUACAAGUUCUUUUAAUGAAUUGGUAAAUAAUUCUAUGGUGACAAAUCAAAAUUUUUGUUUUUACAAUUGCAGUACCUUAGAGCUAGGUUUAGUUUACAAGUUCUUUUUAAUGAAAUGGUAAUAAUUCAAGAUCAAAAAAAUAUGUUCUUUUAAUUCAAUUAGUUUGCUAAUUUUAUGUGGCUUAAAACAUGUUAUUUUACUUUAGUUCAUUAUUUAAACUUAAUUUCAUCAGGAAAUCAUUAAAGAGGAUUAUCGCAAAUUGCUUUUGUGGAUUCUUUUCCCUUCGAUCAUAACUGCAGUACCGAGAUCUCUUUCGACAACUUUUUCUAUAAAAAUUUUAUCAAAUUUAUUACCUAAUCGUUUGUUUCUUCUCAAAAAAAAAUUUUCUCCAACUUCGUAUGUUUUGGGUGUUUUCUUUGCGUUAAGUCUUUUAAGAGUUUUUUCCUGAGCUUUUGCUAACCUUCUUCUAACAGCAUUUAAAAUUUCAGCCGGAUGAUUAUGAAACACGUCCAUAGGCUUAGCGUUUAUGACAGAGUGAAUGCUGUGAUUGUAUUUGUGGGUUGCUAGUAAAAUUAGGUCAAUAGUUUCAUGUAAUUCCUGCUGUUCCCUAAUACAACGCGCUAUUUCAAGCAAGGUGGAGUGAAACCUUUCCACUUGGCCGUUGCUUUCGCUGUGAAGUGUGGGUAUGAAGAAUUGAUCAAUAGAAAAGUGAUCUCUCAGUAGUGUUUUUAUUAGAUUAGAGUGGAAAGCCUUUUCGUUGUCAGAUACAAUGGUUUUUGUAUUCUUGAACAAUAAUAAAAUUUGUAGAAGAGCAUCUUUGACAUCAACAGUGGAUCUUGAUGCGAUUGGCUUCACGACGGCAAAUUUAGAAAAUUUGUCGACGCAUGUUAAAAAAUUUUGUUUGGUGGUAAUAAAAAUGUCUAAAUGGAGGAUUUCCCCCGGGAAGUUCGGGAUAGGCGUUUUGCCAAUGCCAGGGUCUGGUGGUUUGCGCUGGUACUUAUUCUCCAAACAAAUCUUACAAUUUGCGAUUAGAUUUUUUAACAUUUGUUUUAAAUUCGGAAAGUAAUAUUCUUUGGAAAUUUGAUUAAAGUUUUCAGAUAAGCAGCGGUGUGCUCGAUUAUGCUCAGUAGCGACUGUUUCCAGUUGGUCAUCCUUGUUUGUCAGAUCAAUAACGAGUAAUUCUGUGUGAACAAAUUUUACACCUGGAAAUUUAGAUAAUAUGAGGUUCUGUAUUUUCGCUAAAGUAGGAAGGUCACAAUGAAUUCCAUUUGUUACGUUAUAAUUUAUUGAAGAUUUUACGCAGUGUAUUAAUUGCUCGACAGUGCAAUGUUUCGUGUAUUAAUUGCUCGACAGUUCAUGUUUUGGUUGGUGAUGGAGGAGGAAGUGCAUGGUAAAUUAAUGUCAUUUGGCGCUGGUGCGACUGCCAUUGAACUUGACACCACUGCUUCAUGGUCAUCAGUUUCUAUGGGUGUUACAGGAAUUGCUUCCAGCUGUGCACUCAACGCCUCACUUUCGGUAUUUCGUUGUGAGUGCACGGUGCUCGAUGUUAUAUUCGUAUCGCCAAGGUAACUAAAUGUCACUGUUUUUUUAGGUUUACGAGUCCGCUUCCUCACAUUGGCAUCAUUUACUGUGCUAGAGGCGACUGGCGUGCUCAGAUCACCACCUCUACUCUCGUUAUUGCUGCUGGAGCUUGUUCGGUUUGUUGGCUUUAAUGACGUUGGAUAAAACAAUGAUUUCAAAAGUGAGUGGUACUGCCAAUCGGAAGUACUCGGCACGCGUUUCGAUCGACGUAAGCCUGUAUAGUGCAAACCAAAAUUUAUUUUUAUGUAAAUUAUAUCAAAUAUAUAGUUGCUAGGAAAUUAUUUAGAGUGUAUUAAAAUAAAAGUGCCACUUACCUUCGGUGUCAUCUGUGCGCUCAGUUUGAUUCACAUUGCUGGAGUUGUAAGUUUUUGAAUCUUGUAGCCUUCGUUUACGUGAAACACGUGGCGCAAGCUUUGUGGGCUUUUUGAAGAGUUCAUCAUCCUUUUGGCAUACAACUGUAGUGGCAGCGGUAUUAUUAUGCGUCGCGGAUAAUGUGUCGGCCUUUGCACCAUUCGCACUACUAUCCAUUGGUUUAUCGGAAAAUGCCGUUGGCGGCAAAACAAAUUCUUCCAUUGGCAAACUCGGCAGUACAAAUGUGGAAACGGUCGAAUAGCCCCAGUGGCGGCGGCGGUGAUGGUAUUUGUAUAUUGCUCCGUUAGUGUAGAAUUUUUUUGAAAAUUAUCUUUUUCACUAUCUGAAGCAUCGCCAUCUUCGUCAAACGAAUGUACAGUAACAACGAACUCUUGGACUUGUUAUCACGGUAGACAACAGCAACAAACUAACGCGCGUCACCUAAACACAAAACAUCAACUAAAUAAAAGUUAGUUUUUUGUUCACUGCA